UUUUCUUUUUUCUUUUCCCCCNUCUCCCUUCCCCCCCCCCACUAGGAAUAAUUGGUCAAUGGCCUAACGGCUGAACUGGCAAUUUGGGUAAACGAAAAAGAAUUGUAACAACUAAAAUAAAGUUUUAAGUACGUAUUAAUAAUGAUAAUAUGUAUAAAAGUCUUGACCAAUUACGUGCCAGCAGUCGCGGUAAUACGUAGGAGACGAGCAUUAUUCAUAUUAAAUAGGUUUAAAGGGUACCCAAACGGUCAAAAUAUCUAAAAAAAAAGAAGUACUUGACUAGAGUUAUAUGUAAGGAGACCGUACUUGAGGUGGAGAGAUUAUAUUCUGUGAUACCAAAAGGACUGGUAAAGGCGUAAGCUGUCUUUUAUGUAAUAACUGACGUUGAAGGACGAAGGCAUCGGGCACGAACAGGAUUUGACACCCCAGUAGUCUUUGCAGACAAUGAUGAAUGCCAUGAACUAGAUUAUAGGUUUAGUUUUAUAAAUGAAAAUGAAAGCAUUUCACCUCAAGAGUAAAGCCGCAAGGCAGAAACUGAAAUCACUAGACCGUUUCUGACACAAGUAGUGAAGUAUGUUAUUUAA
rnacentral:rRNA from 1 species